UACGGAGGGGGCUAGCGUUGUUCGGAAUUACUGGGCGUAAAGCGCGCGUAGGCGGCUUUGUAAGUUAGAGGUGAAAGCCCGGAGCUCAACUCCGGAAUUGCCUUUAAGACUGCAUCGCUAGAAUCAUGGAGAGGUCAGUGGAAUUCCGAGUGUAGAGGUGAAAUUCGUAGAUAUUCGCAAGAACACCAGUGGCGAAGGCGGCUCACUGGCCCGGUACUGACGCUGAGGUGCGAAAGCGUGGGGAGCAAACAGG
rnacentral:rRNA from 1 species